AUCCAGCUGACGAGUCGCAAGUAGGACGAAACGUGUGUCCUGGAU
rnacentral:hammerhead_ribozyme from 1 species